UGGGGAAUAUUGGACAAUGGGCGAAAGCCUGAUCCAGCAAUGCCGCGUGUGUGAAGAAGGCCUGCGGGUUGUAAAGCACUUUCGGUGGGGAAGAUUAUGACGGUACCCACAGAAGAAGCACCGGCUAACUCCGUGCCAGCAGCCGCGGUAAUACGGAGGGUGCGAGCGUUAAUCGGAAUUACUGGGCGUAAAGCGCGCGUAGGCGGCUUUGUAAGUCGGAUGUGAAAGCCCCGGGCUUAACCUGGGAACUGCAUUCGAUACUGCAUGGCUAGAGUAUGGAAGAGGGAAGUGGAAUUCCGGGUGUAGCGGUGAAAUGCGUAGAUAUCCGGAGGAACACCAGUGGCGAAGGCGACUUCCUGGGCCAAUACUGACGCUGAGGUGCGAAAGCGUGGGGAGCAAACAGGAUUAGAUACCCCCGUAGUCC
rnacentral:rRNA from 1 species